UACGUAGGGGGCAAGCGUUGUCCGGAUUUAUUGGGCGUAAAGAGCGUGUAGGCGGUUAGGUAGGUCCGUUGUGAAAAACUCGAGGCUCAACCUCGAGACGCCGAUGGAAACCAUCUGACUAGAGUCCGAAGAGGAGAGUGGAAUUCCUGGUGUAGCGGUGAAAUGCGCAGAUAUCAGGAAGAACACCCGUGGCUAAGGCGGCUCUCUAGUACGGUACUGACGCUGAGACGCGAAAGCGUGGGGGAGCGAACAGG
rnacentral:rRNA from 1 species